UCCAAUGUGGUGUAGUGGCUAACAUUGCUGUCUUUCAUCGUUCUAUUGAUGCACAGCAGCCCGGGGUUCGAUUCCCCGCAUUGGAA
rnacentral:tRNA from 1 species